rnacentral:rRNA from 1 species
GAUGAUGCUAGUGAGCCUGAAUGAGUUCGAGACUGCACCAGUUCUGUCUUGAGAAGUUGUCAACUUGUCAUUUAGAGAAGUAAAGUCGUAACAAGGUUCCGUAGGUGACCUGCGGAAGGAUCAUUA